AGUGAACGCUGGCGGCGUGCCUAAUACAUGCAAGUCGAACGGAGUGGCGCACGGGUGAGUAAUGUAUAGCUAAUCUGCCCUACACUGGAGGACAACAGCUGGCAACGACUGCUAAUACUCUAUAGUGUAGGAGGAGGCUAUAAUGUGUCAGCUAGUUGGUGAGGUAAUGGCUCACCAAGGCUAUGACGCAUAACUGGGCAGAGAGGAUGAUCAGUCACACCUGAACGGAGACACGGUCCGGACUCCUACGGGAGUCAGCAGUAGGGUAUAAAGCUCAAUGGGGGAAACCCUGAAGCAGCAUCGCGGCGUGGAGGAUGACACUUUUCGGAGCGUAAACUCCUUUUGUUAGGGAAGCGUUACCUAACGAAUAAGCACCGGCUAACUCCGUGCCAGCAGCCGCGGUAAUUC
rnacentral:rRNA from 1 species